rnacentral:sRNA from 1 species
CUCGAGCCGCGUGAAGGAUGGCAGUGGAAAUCCUUUUAUGAAGCGAAGCGCAAUAAAAGAUUAUAACGGACAGCCUGACCCAAA